rnacentral:rRNA from 1 species
GAAACCGUGUACGUACAAGCAGUGGGAGCACGCUUAGGCGUGUGACUGCGUACCUUUUGUAUAAUGGGUCAGCGACUUAUAUUCUGUAGCAAGGUUAACCGAAUAGGGGAGCCGAAGGGAAACCGAGUCUUAACUGGGCGUUAAGUUGCAGGGUAUAGACCCGAAACCCGGUGAUCUAGCCAUGGGCAGGUUGAAGGUUGGGUAACACUAACUGGAGGACCGAACCGACUAAUGUUGAAAAAUUAGCGGAUGACUUGUGGCUGGGGGUGAAAGGCCAAUCAAACCGGGAGAUAGCUGGUUCUCCCCGAAAGCUAUUUAGGUAGCGCCUCGUGAAUUCAUCUCCGGGGGUAGAGCACUGUUUCGGCAAGGGGGUCAUCCCGACUUACCAACCCGAUGCAAACUGCGAAUACCGGAGAAUGUUAUCACGGGAGACACACGGCGGGUGCUAACGUCCGUCGUGAAGAGGGAAACAACCCAGACCGCCAGCUAAGGUCCCAAAGUCAUGGUUAAGUGGGAAACGAUGUGGGAAGGCCCAGACAGCCAGGAUGUUGGCUUAGAAGCAGCCAUCAUUUAAAGAAAGCGUAAUAGCUCACUGGUCGAGUCGGCCUGCGCGGAAGAUGUAACGGGGCUAAACCAUGCACCGAAGCUGCGGCAGCGACGCUUAUGCGUUGUUGGGUAGGGGAGCGUUCUGUAAGCCUGUGAAGGUGUACUGUGAGGUAUGCUGGAGGUAUCAGAAGUGCGAAUGCUGACAUAAGUAACGAUAAAGCGGGUGAAAAGCCCGCUCGCCGGAAGACCAAGGGUUCCUGUCCAACGUUAAUCGGGGCAGGGUGAGUCGACCCCUAAGGCGAGGCCGAAAGGCGUAGUCGAUGGGAAACAGGUUAAUAUUCCUGUACUUGGUGUUACUGCGAAGGGGGGACGGAGAAGGCUAUGUUGGCCGGGCGACGGUUGUCCCGGUUUAAGCGUGUAGGCUGGUUUUCCAGGCAAAUCCGGAAAAUCAAGGCUGAGGCGUGAUGACGAGGCACUACGGUGCUGAAGCAACAAAUGCCCUGCUUCCAGGAAAAGCCUCUAAGCAUCAGGUAACAUCAAAUCGUACCCCAAACCGACACAGGUGGUCAGGUAGAGAAUACCAAGGCGCUUGAGAGAACUCGGGUGAAGGAACUAGGCAAAAUGGUGCCGUAACUUCGGGAGAAGGCACGCUGAUAUGUAGGUGAAGUCCCUCGCGGAUGGAGCUGAAAUCAGUCGAAGAUACCAGCUGGCUGCAACUGUUUAUUAAAAACACAGCACUGUGCAAACACGAAAGUGGACGUAUACGGUGUGACGCCUGCCCGGUGC